rnacentral:rRNA from 2 species
GAGUUUGAUCGUGGCUCAGAGCGAACGCUGGCGGCAGGCUUAACACAUGCAAGUCGAGCGGGCGUAGCAAUACGUCAGCGGCAGACGGGUGAGUAACGCGUGGGAACGUACCUUUUGGUUCGGAACAACACAGGGAAACUUGUGCUAAUACCGGAUAAGCCCUUACGGGGAAAGAUUUAUCGCCGAAAGAUCGGCCCGCGUCUGAUUAGCUAGUUGGUAGGGUAAUGGCCUACCAAGGCGACGAUCAGUAGCUGGUCUGAGAGGAUGAUCAGCCACAUUGGGACUGAGACACGGCCCAAACUCCUACGGGAGGCAGCAGUGGGGAAUAUUGGACAAUGGGGGCAACCCUGAUCCAGCCAUGCCGCGUGAGUGAUGAAGGCCCUAGGGUUGUAAAGCUCUUUUGUGCGGGAAGAUAAUGACGGUACCGCAAGAAUAAGCCCCGGCUAACUACGUGACAGCCGCCGCGGU